AUUUCUGUGACUCACCAUUGCAUUGAUUAGGAAGCAUAAUAGAGGGUUCUUGCACUUGAAACGAUUGUCCUAGGUGGAGCAUUAUCCGAGUAUCCCAUCUUUAUCGAUUGCCUUACCUCCUCCUUUACUCGUGCUAUCUUACUUGUUGUUUUUACUUUUGAGAAUUGAAUCAUUUCCACACUUAUCACUACUAAUCUUUCACAUAGCUAAGAAGCAGAUUAAGUGUUUUUAUUCCCUAUUCCCUAUUGAUUCGACAACCGCUCAUCCUGGAUUAUUACUUCAACAAAACCGUCCACUUGAGGGAUAUACGCAAGGGGACCUUGUCAGCUAUGGCGGCCCCCAUUUUGCUUGACCAACCCAAGGAAAACCUUGAAUACAGGCUGUCUUCAUUUGUAUAGACAGACUGAUAGGGUGCUAAGAUCCAAAGUCAAGAGGGAAACAACCCAGAUCGUACGCUAAGGUCCCUAAGCAAGAACUUAGUGGAAAGGGAAGUGAUCAAGCGAUGACAACCAGGAGGUGGGCUUGGAAGCAGCCAUCCUUUGAAGAAAGUGUAAUAGCUCACUGGUCUAGCUCCAUGGCACAGAAAAUAUCUCAGGGCUCAAGUUUUUCACCGAAGCAACGAGACCUUGAAAGCUAUUUUUUCAAGUGUAAGUAGCGAGACGUUCGGUCAAUCGGGGAAGGUUUUUGGUGACAGUACCAGGAGAUAUCGGAAGUGAGAAUGCUGACAUGAGUAACGAGAAAUCUUGUGAAAAACACGAUCGCCUUCAAGUGGAAGGCUUUCUACAUUCAAACAAUCUAUGCAUAGUGAAUCAGUCCCUAAGGAGCCCCCAAAAAGGCUGCCGUCCGAUGGGUACAUGAAAGUCAUGAAGUUUCUUUUACUACUGAACCAUGCUUGUCUGUUGGAGAAAACUAGAUAAGCGGGCUAAGGGCUGCCCUCUCUUCCCCUCGCUCUCCUUUCCCUAAUAUUCACCUUGAGUCAUCAAAGCCUUAACUAGAUAAUUCAGAGGGGCUUCGGCUGGCCCGGUCGCCCUACGCUACUGGCGUUUCCAAAGGCAAAGCUCUCGUCUUUGGGGACCACUAAAUGGAGGGAGUGCUCUCUUACGUUUUGAAGCAGGGGCGGAUACUUUUUCUUCUCUAAAGGCGAAGACUCUGAAGUGGGUGAACACUUGGCCCAACGGGCGAACAUGCCGGGCUCUGGCUCCACGCAUCUCCUGACACCUUUCAAAGCACUCUCACUUGUGAACCGAAGUCGUCUUGCAUCACUCUUUCCUUUCUCAUUUCAGUGCUCGCCUUUAUCAUCUUCAGUAGGGGCCUUUAUUUGAUUAGAGUAGGGGUCGCGAGAAAGCAAAGUAUAUCGCCCUGCCAUAGUCUCGAGGAUCUUGAUAGUAGGUUAUGACUAUCUACUGUCAUAGGCAAUGACGGUUGAAACUUCUAGGAAAAAACUUCGAAUUGGGAGGGCGAUUCCCCUGGUGAACUGACCGUACCCCAAACCGACACAGGUGAAUAAGUAGAGUGUACUAGGGCACGUCGAGAGAACCAUGUCGAAGGAACUCGGCAAAAUGACCCCGUAACUUCGGGAGAAGGGGUGCUCUCCUCUUGAUUAGGAAAGCGACACAAACAAGGGGGUAGUGACUGUUUAUUAAAAACACAGGACUCUGCUAAGUGGUAACACGAUGUAUAGAGUCUGACAUCGGCCCGAUGUUGGAAGGUCAGAAGGAGAAGUGUGAUAAGCUUUGAAUGGAAGUCUUAGUAAACGACGACAGUAACUCUAAUUAUACUAAGGUACCGAAAUUCCUUUUCUCAUAAGUAGCGACUUGAACGAAUGUUGUAAUAACUACCCCGCUGUAUCUGACAUGGACCCGUUAAAAUUAAAUUCUCCUUGAAGAUGCGGAGUACCAGCGGCUAGGCGGAAAGACCCCGUGCACCUUGACUAUAGCUUCGUAGUGACAACCUUGAUCGAAUGUGUAGGAUACGUUAUAGGUGGUACACAUAAGGACCAAUCUUUAAAGACCACUCUUUCGUCAAAGGAUGCCUAACCGCCGCACCGAUCAUUCGGGUAGAGGGGGGAGGGGGAUGGGACACUACGAGGUGGGUAGUUUAUCUGGGGCGAAUGCCUCCAAAAGUGUAACAGAGGUGUGUGAAUAUAAGCUUAAGUGUUGAUUCUGCUCGUGAGCAUAAUGGUAUAAGCCUGCCUGACUGUGAGACCAACUGGUUGAACAGAGAUGAAAGUCGGCUAUAGUGAUCUGGAAGUCCCGUGUGGAGGGGCUCUCGCUCAACGGAUCAAAGGUACACCUGGGAUAACCUGCUGAUGACUCCCAAGGGCUCUUAUCGACAGAGUCAUUUAGCACCUCGAUGUCAACUCAUCACAUCCUGGGGUUGAAGAAGGUCCCAAGGGUUUGGUUGUUCGCCGAUGAAAGUGGUACGUGAGCUGGGUUUAGAACGUCGUGAGACAGUUUGGUUCCUAUAUACCGUUGAUGUUAAAGGGAGAACUGCGAGGAGCCAAUCCAAGUAUGAGAGGACUGGGUUGGGUAAAUCUAUGGUGUACUUGUUGUUAUACCAAUAGUAGCGCCGGGAAACUAAGUUAGUAUGGAAGAAUUGCUGUGCCAUGGGAAAUCCUUCUCUGUACAAGUUCUCAUACGAGGUUUUUCAAUAGAACUUCGAUAAGUGAAAUGUGUAAGCACCGCGAGGUGUGAAGCGAUCUCAUACUAAACGAAUUUCACUUUCCAAC
rnacentral:rRNA from 1 species